GGACCCCGCACAAGCGGUGGAUCAUGUUGUUUAAUUCGAUGAUACGCGAAGAACCUUACCAGGUCUUGACAUCCCCCGCGAUGCUUUAGAGAUAAAGCGGAGGUAUUCGGGGAGACAGGUGGUGCAUGGUUGUCGUCAGCUCGUGUCGUGAGAUGUUGGGUUAAGUCCCGCAACGAGCGCAACCCCUAUUGCUAGUUACCAUCAUUAAGUUGGGGACUCUAGCGAGACUGCCAGUGAUAAACUGGAGGAAGGUGGGGAUGACGUCAAAUCAUCAUGCCCCUUAUGACCUGGGCUACAAACGUGAUACAAUGGCUGGAACAAAGGGAUGCGAAGCAGUGAUGUGGAGCGAAACCCAUAAAAACAGUCUCAGUUCGGAUUGAAGUCUGCAACUCGACUUCAUGAAGUCGGAAUCGCUAGUAAUCGCGGAUCAGAACGCCGCGGUGAAUACGUUCUCGGGGUUU
rnacentral:rRNA from 1 species